rnacentral:rRNA from 1 species
UAAUACGUAGGGGGCAAGCGUUGUCCGGAGUUACUGGGCGUAAAGGGCACGCAGGCGGUUGUGUCAGUUUGCGGGGACAGUGGGUGGCUUAACUGCCCAAGCGUCGCAAAGACGGCACGACUGGAGAGCGAGAGAGGGACCUGGAAUUCCGGGUGGAGCGGUGAAAUGCGUAGAGAUCCGGAGGAACACCACUGGCGAAGGCAAGGUCCUGGCUCGUAUCUGACGCUGAGGUGCGAAAGCUAGGGGAGCGAACGGGAUUAGAUACCCCGGUAGUCCUAGCCGUAAACGAUGACCACUAGAUGUGGGAGGUAUCGACCCCUUCCGUGUCGCAGUUAACACGUUAAGUGGUCCGCCUGGGGAGUACGGUCGCAAGAUUA